rnacentral:rRNA from 1 species
UACAGAGGGUGCAAACGUUGCUCGGAAUUACUGGGCGUAAAGCGCGUGUAGGCGGUUCGUUAAGUCGUCUGUGAAAGCCCAUGGCUCAACCAUGGAAGUGCAGCCGAUACUGGCAAACUUGAGUUCUGGAGAGGGUGGCGGAAUUCCCAGUGUAGAGGUGAAAUUCGUAGAUAUUGGGAGGAACACCGGUGGCGAAGGCGGCCACCUGGACAGAUACUGACGCUGAGACGCGAAAGCGCGGGUAGCAAACAGG